rnacentral:rRNA from 1 species
AUACAGAGGGUGCAAGCGUUAAUCGGAAUUAUUGGGCGUAAAGGGCUUGUAGGUGGUUCUAUAAGUUAGAUGUGAAAACCCUGGGCUUAACCCGGGACGUGCAUUUAAUACUGUAGAGCUAGAGUAGAGCAGAGGAGUGGGGAAUUCCUGGUGUAGCAGUGAAAUGCGUAGAGAUCAGGAGGAACAUCAGUGGCGAAGGCGCCACUCUGGGCUCAUACUGACACUGAAAAGCGAAGGCGUGGGGAUC